rnacentral:lncRNA from 1 species
CCGGGCAAGUUGGACAGUCCGAUUUCCAGUGGGGUCCUGCACAGAUGGGACACAGCUUAGGAGGAAUCCUGGGCUGUGGGCAUUCCUUGUCACAGUGGCCAGAUUUCCAGCACUUGAAGCAAGAUCCUGUGGGAGGAG